CCUACGGGGUGCAGCAGUGAGGAAUAUUGGUCAAUGGACGAGAGUCUGAACCAGCCAAGUAGCGUGAAGGAUGACUGCCCUAUGGGUUGUAAACUUCUUUUAUAUGGGAAUAAAAUGUUCCACGUGUGGGAUUUUGUAUGUACCAUAUGAAUAAGGAUCGGCUAACUCCGUGCCAGCAGCCGCGGUAAUCCGGAGGAUCCGAGCGUUAUCCGGAUUUAUUGGGGUUAAAGGGAGCGUAGGUGGAUUGUUAAGUCAGUUGUGAAAGUUUUCGGCUCAACCGUAAAAUUGCAGUUGAAACUGGCAGUCUUGAGUACAGUAGAGGUGGGCGGAAUUCGUGGUGUAGCGGUGAAAUGCUUAGAUAUCACGAAGAACUCCGAUUGCGAAGGCAGUUCACUGGACUGCAACUGACACUGAGGCUCGAAAGUGUGGGUAUCAAACAGGAUUAGAUACCCGUGUAGUC
rnacentral:rRNA from 1 species